UACAUCUCCUCUCUUCUCUCUAGGUAUCAGUCAGUUACAUCUCCUCUCUUCUCUCUAGGUAUCAGUCAGAGUUACAUCUCCUCUCUUCUCUCUAGGUAUCAGUCAGAGUUACAUCUCCUCUCUUCUCUCUAGGUAUCAGUCAGAGUUACAUCUCCUCUCUUCUCUCUAGGUAUCAGUCAGAGUUACAUCUCCUCUCUUCUCUCUAGGUAUCAGUCAGAGUUACAUCUCCUCUCUUCUCUCUAGGUAUCAGUCAGUUACAUCUCCUCUCUUCUCUCUAGGUAUCAGUCAGUUACAUCUCCUCUCCUCUCUCUAGGUAUCAGUCAGUUACAUCUCCUCUCCUCUCUCUAGGUAUCAGUCAGUUACAUCUCCUCUCCUCUCUAGGUAUCAGUCAGUUACAUCUCCUCUCCUCUCUUCUCUCUAGGUAUCAGUCAGUUACAUCUCCUCUCCUCUCUUCUCUCUAGGUAUCAGUCAGUUACAUCUCCUCUCCUCUCUAGGUAUCAGUCAGUUACAUCUCCUCUCUUCUCUCUAGGUAUCAGUCAGUUACAUCUCCUCUCCUCUCUCUAGGUAUCAGUCAGUUACAUCUCCUCUCCUCUCUCUAGGUAUCAGUCAGUUACAUCUCCUCUCCUCUCUCUAGGUAUCAGUCAGUUACAUCUCCUCUCUUCUCUCUAGGUAUCAGUCAGUUACAUCUCCUCUCUUCUCUCUAGGUAUCAGUCAGUUACAUCUCCUCUCUUCUCUCUAGGUAUCAGUCAGAGUUACAUCUCCUCUCUUCUCUCUAGGUAUCAGUCAGAGUUACAUCUCCUCUCUUCUCUCUAGGUAUCAGUCAGAGUUACAUCUCCUCUCCUCUCUAGGUAUCAGUCAGUUACAUCUCCUCUCCUCUCUCUAGGUAUCAGUCAGUUACAUCUCCUCUCUUCUCUCUAGGUAUCAGUCAGUUACAUCUCCUCUCUUCUCUCUAGGUAUCAGUCAGAGUUACAUCUCCUCUCUUCUCUCUAGGUAUCAGUCAGCGUUACAUCUCCUCUCUUCUCUCUAGGUAUCAGUCAGAGUUACAUCUCCUCUCCUCUCUCUAGGUAUCAGUCAGUUACAUCUCCUCUCUUCUCUCUAGGUAUCAGUCAGAGUUACAUCUCCUCUCUUCUCUCUAGGUAUCAGUCAGAGUUACAUCUCCUCUCUUCUCUCUAGGUAUCAGUCAGAGUUACAUCUCCUCUCUUCUCUCUAGGUAUCAGUCAGAGUUACAUCUCCUCUCUUCUCUCUAGGUAUCAGUCAGUUACAUCUCCUCUCUUCUCUCUAGGUAUCAGUCAGUUACAUCUCCUCUCCUCUCUCUAGGUAUCAGUCAGUUACAUCUCCUCUCCUCUCUAGGUAUCAGUCAGUUACAUCUCCUCUCCUCUCUUCUCUCUAGGUAUCAGUCAGUUACAUCUCCUCUCCUCUCUUCUCUCUAGGUAUCAGUCAGUUACAUCUCCUCUCCUCUCUAGGUAUCAGUCAGUUACAUCUCCUCUCUUCUCUCUAGGUAUCAGUCAGUUACAUCUCCUCUCUUCUCUCUAGGUAUCAGUCAGUUACAUCUCCUCUCCUCUCUCUAGGUAUCAGUCAGUUACAUCUCCUCUCCUCUCUUCUCUCUAGGUAUCAGUCAGUUACAUCUCCUCUCCUCUCUAGGUAUCAGUCAGUUACAUCUCCUCUCCUCUCUAGGUAUCAGUCAGUUACAUCUCCUCUCCUCUCUCUAGGUAUCAGUCAGUUACAUCUCCUCUCUUCUCUCUAGGUAUCAGUCAGUUACAUCUCCUCUCUUCUCUCUAGGUAUCAGUCAGUUACAUCUCCUCUCUCUAGGUAUCAGUCAGUUACAUCUCCUCUCCUCUCUCUAGGUAUCAGUCAGUUACAUCUCUUCUCUCUAGGUAUCAGUCAGUUACAUCUCCUCUCCUCUCUCUAGGUAUCAGUCAGUUACAUCUCCUCUCUUCUCUCUAGGUAUCAGUCAGUUACAUAUCCUCUCCUCUCUCUAGGUAUCAGUCAGUUACAUCUCCUCUCCUCUCUCUAGGUAUCAGUCAGUUACAUCUCCUCUCUUCUCUCUAGGUAUCAGUCAGUUACAUCUCCUCUCUUCUCUCUAGGUAUCAGUCAGUUACAUCUCCUCUCUUCUCUCUAGGUAUCAGUCAGUUACAUCUCCUCUCCUCUCUUCUCUCUAGGUAUCAGUCAGUUACAUCUCCUCUCUUCUCUCUAGGUAUCAGUCAGUUACAUAUCCUCUCUUCUCUCUAGGUAUCAGUCAGUUACAUCUCCUCUCUUCUCUCUAGGUAUCAGUCAGUUACAUCUCCUCUCUUCUCUCUAGGUAUCAGUCAGUUACAUCUCCUCUCUUCUCCUCUCUAGGUAUCAGUCAGUUACAUCUCCUCUCCUCUCUUCUCUCUAGGUAUCAGUCAGUUACAUCUCCUCUCCUCUCCUCUAGGUAUCAGUCAGUUACAUCUCCUCUCCUCUCUUCUCUCUAGGUAUCAGUCAGUUACAUCUCCUCUCUUCUCUCUAGGUAUCAGUCAGUUACAUCUCCUCUCUUCUCUCUAGGUAUCAGUCAGUUACAUCUCCUCUCCUCUCCUCUCUAGGUAUCAGUCAGUUACAUCUCCUCUCUUCUCUCUAGGUAUCAGUCAGUUACAUCUCCUCUCUUCUCUCUAGGUAUCAGUCAGUUACAUCUCCUCUCCUCUCUUCUCUCUAGGUAUCAGUCAGUUACAUCUCCUCUCUAGGUAUCAGUCAGUUACAUCUCCUCUCUUCUCUCUAGGUAUCAGUCAGUUACAUCUCCUCUCUUCUCUCUAGGUAUCAGUCAGAGUUACAUCUCCUCUCUUCUCUCUAGGUAUCAGUCAGUUACAUCUCCUCUCCUCUCCUCUCUCUAGGUAUCAGUCAGUUACAUCUCCUCUCCUCUCCUCUCUCUAGGUAUCAGUCAGUUACAUCUCCUCUCUUCUCUCUAGGUAUCAGUCAGUUACAUCUCCUCUCUUCUCUCUAGGUAUCAGUCAUUUACAUCUCCUCUCUUCUCUCUAGGUAUCAGUCAGUUACAUCUCCUCUCCUCUCUUCUUUCUAGGUAUCAGUCAGUUACAUCUCCUCUCUUCUCUAGGUAUCAGUCAGUUACAUCUCCUCUCUUCUCUCUAGGUAUCAGUCAGUUACAUCUCCUCUCCUCUCCUCUCUCUAGGUAUCAGUCAGUUACAUCUCAUCUCCUCUCUUCUCUCUAGGUAUCAGUCAGUUACAUCUCAUCUCCUCUCUUCUCUCUAGGUAUCAGUCAGUUACAUCUCCUCUCCUCUCCUCUCUAGGUAUCAGUCAGUUACAUCUCCUCUCCUCUCCUCUCUAGGUAUCAGUCAGUUACAUCUCCUCUCUUCUCUCUAGGUAUCAGUCAGUUACAUCUCCUCUCCUCUCUUCUCUCUAGGUAUCAGUCAGUUACAUCUCCUCUCCUCUACUCUAGGUAUCAGUCAGUUACAUCUCCUCUCCUCUCUUCUCUCUAGGUAUCAGUCAGUUACAUCUCCUCUCUUCUCUCUAGGUAUCAGUCAGUUACAUCUCCUCUCUUCUCUCUAGGUAUCAGUCAGUUACAUCUCUCCUCUCCUCUCUAGGUGUCAGUCAGUUACAUCUCCUCUCUUCUCUCUAGGUAUCAGUCAGAGUUACAUCUCCUCUCCUCUCUCUAGGUAUCAGUCAGUUACAUCUCCUCUCUUCUCUCUAGGUAUCAGUCAGAGUUACAUCUCCUCUCUUCUCUCUAGGUAUCAGUCAGAGUUACAUCUCCUCUCUUCUCUCUAGGUAUCAGUCAGAGUUACAUCUCCUCUCUUCUCUCUAGGUAUCAGUCAGUUACAUCUCCUCUCUUCUCUCUAGGUAUCAGUCAGUUACAUCUCCUCUCCUCUCCUCUCUCUAGGUAUCAGUCAGAGUUACAUCUCCUCUCCUCUCUAGGUAUCAGUCAGUUACAUCUCCUCUCCUCUCUCUAGGUAUCAGUCAGAGUUACAUCUCCUCUCUUCUCUCUAGGUAUCAGUCAGAGUUACAUCUCCUCUCUUCUCUCUAGGUAUCAGUCAGUUACAUCUCCUCUCUUCUCUCUAGGUAUCAGUCAGUUACAUCUCCUCUCUUCUCUCUAGGUAUCAGUCAGUUACAUCUCCUCUCUUCUCUCUAGGUAUCAGUCAGUUACAUCUCCUCUCUUCUCUCUAGGUAUCAGUCAGUUACAUCUCCUCUCUUCUCUCUAGGUAUCAGUCAGAGUUACAUCUCCUCUCUUCUCUCUAGGUAUCAGUCAGUUACAUCUCCUCUCUUCUCUCUAGGUAU